UACAGAGGUCCCAAGCGUUGUUCGGAUUCAUUGGGCGUAAAGGGUGCGUAGGUGGUGAGGUAAGUCGGAUGUGAAAGCUCGGAGCUCAACUCCGAAAUGGCAUUGGAAACUACCUUGCUCGAGUACGGGAGAGGGGGGUGGAAUUCCUGGUGUAGGGGUGAAAUUCGUUGAUAUCAGGAGGAACACCGGCGGCGAAGGCGGCCCCCUGGCCCGCAACUGACGCUCAUGGUCGAAAGCGUGGGGAGCAAACAGG
rnacentral:rRNA from 1 species